UUCUUAUUUUGUUUUUUGUUUUUGUUUUUGUUUUUUUGAGACAGCGUUUCUCUCUGUAACCCAGGCUGUCUGUUAUAUAUUUCAAAAUACUCAGAAAUGAAGAAUUUGAAGGUUCCCUACCCCGAGAAUGGAUCAGAGUUGAAGCAAUGGAAAGGCUAAUUACCCUAAUUUGGCCAUCAUGUGUGUAGAGCUGUGUCAAAUUAUCACUCCAUAGUCUCUCAGUAUUCAUUCAUAUGCCAGACACAUUUUAAAGAAUGUCCAAAAUUAAAAAAAAAAAAAGUGUGAGCUUCUGUCAGUACUCCUUAAGUUAUUCUCUCUCCUUAGGCCCCAAUUAAUGAUAGUAUCAUGUGACAGAUCUUUGGGGUCAGCAAGGGACACAGGUAUCAGGAGUAUUAGAAAAGAGCAGCUCGAGAGGAGCCCAAAAUGGCUGCCUUAUUGAGUGUGAGAAGUUGUGCAAGGAUGGAUUCAUCCUGAAACAUUUAAAGACGAUGCUCCGUGUGGGGCAGGGUUGGAGUGGGGGAUGGGGAUGAGAUGGGGCUGUGGAAGGACUCGGCCUGGCUUGUGCUGCUGUGCCAGGCUGUGCUAUGGUUUGUCUCCUUGGGAACUCACAUUCAAGUUUAAUCUCCAUAAUAAGAGAUUAAGAAGUGUGGGGACCUUUAAGAGACAACUGGGGCCCUGCCUUCAAACAAGAUUAAUCCACUCAUGUGUGUUUCACUUUCUCCAAGGGAUGGGGUGAUAUGGAGUGUACGCAUUGGGGUGUUGGUGUCUCAGAACUAAUUAGUGGAGGUUUCACAAGGUCUAAACACAGCCCUCGCAAUGUAUUAGUAAGGACUCUAUUAUUAAUCAGGGGGAAAUGUGCUAUGGCAACUCUCCUAAAUUCAUCCCGAGAUAUUGGAAAUGAAUGAGAAAAUAGAUGCCUCAUCCCACCCUGGGCUUUCUCGUCACUGUAGACUUAGAAGCAGAGAAACAAAGGGAUUUCACAUGCUGGAGGGCAGCUACUAGCCUGACUCCACCCCUGGUGUGCCUGCCGAGGUCAGAGCUCAGCUUUGGUGCUGCCCACUUUGUGUUUUGAGGCAGGAUCUCUCUGUUGAUCUUGUACUCUAAGCUGGCUAGGCUGGCUGGCCAGUGAGCCCCAGAGAUCUGCCUGUCUUCACUUCCCCAAUGAUGGGGUUACAGGAGCACCAUGGUAUGUGACUGUUUACAUGGGUCCUGAGGAUUGAGCCUGGGUCCUCAUGCUUGCACAAGCGUUUUAUCAAUGUAGCCAUCUCCCCAGCUCAUUGCCAGGCCUCUUGGUUGUUGCUAUUUUGAUCCUUGUUUUUUUUUUUUUUUCUUGAGACUAGGCUUCUCCGUGUAACCUUGGCUGUCUCAGAACUCCAUCUGUAGACUAGAGAUCUGCCUGCCUCUGCCUCCUGAGUUCCAAGGAUUAAAGGCAUGCCCAACUAGUGCCAGGUCCCUUGAUCCUGCAAAAAUUUGUGAGCAUACUUGGCAGCCAGACUGAAGCAGGGGGUGGGAGUGGGCUUCACAGUGACAUCAUUGCUACCUCCUGUCAUCCUGUUGGAAGACUCUGGGAAAAGGAAGGCACAUUCUUCCUUUCUCCAUUUCCAUCUGGGGAGAGGGGCUUAGCAGUCUAGAGCACCACGCCCUGGCUAAAGGGCCAUUGCUACUUGGAUGAUUAUAAUGCCUUCCCCCACCUUUGAGUCCUGCUAAUAUGCCGUGGCAGCAAUAUCCAUUGGUGUGGACACUCCUUAGGGAGCAUGGGCUGUUGUGUCCCAGCUUGUCAGAGCGUGUGUGUGUGUGUGUGUGUGUGUGCGCGCGCGCGCGCGCGUGUGUGUGUGUGUGUGUGUGUGUGUGUGUGUGUGUGUGUGUGUGGUAGUAGUAUGGCUGUGGUAGUAGAGAAGGAGAGGGAGGAGGAGAAAGAAGAGGAGGAGGAGGAGUGGUGGUGGUGGUAAGGUGGAGGUGUGAAGUGUGCAUUUGAGUGUGUAAACAUGUGUGAUGGACGGAGUUGGGUGUGUGCAGAGAGAGUCUCCAUUGAGGCCAAGUGCACAGCACCCCGCUUGCAUUGCUCUUUCUUUGGAGGUAAUCCCGGGUACUCUGCUCCUCUCCUGCAUGAAUAUGAAUAACUUGAGUGAUGGAGGAUGAGCUGGGCUCCUCUGCUUGGUUUCCUCUCUUUUUCUUAGAGCCAGGGCCGGAGGAGAAAAGAGAAGUAGCCGUAUAGACAGAGGAGAGAGACCGCAUGGCUUGUUUGCAAACGCUUCUGUUUCUUCCAGCACCGCUUCGAGGGACAAUUGUUUACACCCCAUGAUGAUGUUGCUCUCAGAGAGUCCUGGGAGAUGAGUGUGGAGCCCUAAGGGAUGCGCUUGUCUGAUUUAAUAUGCAGGGCUAUUCACAUCUAGAGUACAGAAAGCCUGGCUUUCCCCCUAAGGCCCAUGGGUACCACAAUGCUAUGUUUGUCUGUGGAAGUGAGAUUUAGCCACUCCUUCCUGACUGACUGAAUGCAGCUGCCUCCAUCUACAGCCCGGGGCAUGGGGGAUUCCAGAGUCAUGUGUAUCCGGAGCCCACCUCGGCUUUUUCCAGCCUCUUGGUCUCCAGUGGAAUUAUACUGGUGCCCUCAGGUCCAAAGGAGACCUGCAUUGAAUUUCCUGGUUCCUGGCUUCGACAUGUGACUGCUUUUUAGAGUUAUUCUUUAUUUUUAAUUGUGUGAGUAUAUAUGUGUAUAUGGGUAUGUGCAGGUGACCAUUGAGGCCAGAAGAGGACAUUGAAUCUCCUGGAGCUAGAGUUAUAAGUUGUUGUGAGCUGAGGAUGUGGGUGUUGGGAACUGAACCCUUUG
rnacentral:lncRNA from 1 species